UUAUACACGAUUCGGCUUAUACAUACAUUAAAAUUGAAACGAUACAGAUAUUAGCAUGGCCACUUCACAAAGAUGACAGGCAAAAUCAUGAAGAGCUCUACAUGUUG